GGUAGGCAAGUAUGGUACAACUAUAGUACAUUUCCAUACAGUAGCAGUAAUUUAAGUUACGUGCCUCUUAAGACUUACCCAUCUUUAGUGUAUAGAUGCAUCAGGAGCCAAUAUAUCUUAAUCAUAUGCAAACUGCACCCAUCCAACCUAGAUGCAGAAUUUCUGAUUGCUAACAAACAUAUUUCAAAAGGGAUGCAGUCAGCAUCUUGGCGGUCGAGAUGCAGGCGGUCAUGUGACCGACACUGGAGUUGUGACACCACUCGGAAUCCCGGAGCCAGAACAUUGAUCACUGACAUACUGAAGAUUUGUUGUAAUCUGCUGAGGUCUGCAGGAAUGAAAUGGAGGACUGCUGAAAGAAAUGAACAUGCAUGAACAGCAGGAGUGAAUCCAGCCACAGUAAUGGAUAUAUGGGAAUGUUAAAGCAGAAAGAGUUUGGCAUAGUAAAUCUGCGCAGUUAGUGUAUGGCAAGGGCAUCCAAAAGUUUUUCUUGGAGUGCCAUAGUAAGAACAUGACUGUGGACGAGCAUCACAAGAUGUUUUUUUCAGUUUCCCUCCCAACAAUUAGAAUGAUUGACCAUAUACCGGCAUCCAUUCGUGGCGGGGACCGUGAUCGACGUUUGCUGCAGUGUGAAUCCAAAUGGAUAUUUCUUUUGGACACUGUUUCACCUAAGGGGUUAAAUGAAUCCUUAGGCUUACAGUGCUUUUUAUAAGUGUUUUGUGUUAAAUAACAGCUAAUGCUUAUAUAACCAUUUAUGAUAUUGUCAUUAUGCAUAUUAUGCAUCCUUUUGUCUUAUUUAUGUAUUUCUUUUGAUGUGUUGCACUUUCUUUGGACUUUGUAUGUUUUUUGUCAGUUUGUUUCAAUGUAUCUAAUUAGUUACCACUUACAGGUGUGAUGCCUGCUUGGUAGCCUAUUUAAAUCUGUUUUGUUCAGUUGUGUCUUUAUCUCCUGACGAAAGGGGUUCAGCCCCUGAAAC